rnacentral:rRNA from 1 species
ACCAGACGAUGCGGUUACCGCGGCUGCUGGCACGGAGUUAGCCGGUGCUUCUUCUGUGAGUGAUGUCCUUCCUGCCGGUUAUUGACCCGCAGGCCUUCUUCCUCACUGAAAGUGCUUUACAACCCGAAGGCCUUCUUCACACACGCGGCAUGGCUGGAUCAGGGUUGCCCCCAUUGUCCAAUAUUCCCCACUGCUGCCUCCCGUAGGAGUCUGGGCCGUGUCUCAGUCCCAGUGUGGCUGAUCAUCCUCUCAGACCAGCUACGGAUCGUCGCCUUGGUGAGCCGUUACCUCACCAACCAGCUAAUCCGACAUAGGCUCAUCCGAUAGCGCGAGGCCCGAAGGUCCCCCGCUUUCCCCCGUAGGGCGUAUGCGGUAUUAGCCUGGGUUUCCCCAGGUUAUCCCCACUACCGGGCAGAUUCCUAUGCAUUACUCACCCGUCCGCCGCUCGCCACCAGGGAGCAAGCUCCCCGUGCUGCCGCUCGACUUGCAUGUGUUAGGCCUGCCGCCAGCGUUCAAU